rnacentral:rRNA from 1 species
AGCAGCCGCGGUAAUUCCAGCUCCAAUAGCGUAUAUUAAAGUUGUUGCAGUUAAAAAGCUCGUAGUUGAAUUUCGGGAUCAAUACGUCGGUCGUGCCUCUGGUAUGAACUGGUGUUAUUGAUUCCUCCUUUCUGAUAAACCAUGAUGUCAUUAAUUUGGUGUUGUGGGGAGUCAGGACUGUUACUUUGAAAAAAUUAGAGUGUUUAAAGCAGGCCUACGCUUGAAUACAUUAGCAUGGAAUAAUGAAAUAGGACGUUCGAACCUAUUUUGUUGGUUUCUAGGAUCAACGUAAUGAUUAAUAGGGAUAGUUGGG